rnacentral:rRNA from 1 species
UACGUAGGGCGCAAGCGUUAUCCGGAAUUAUUGGGCGUAAAGAGCUCGUAGGCGGUUGGGUAAGUCGGGUGUGAAAACUCCAGGCUCAACUUGGAGACGCCACCCGAUACUGCUCUGACUUGAGUUCGGUAGGGGAGUGGGGGAAUUCCUGGUGUAGCGGUGAAAUGCGCAGAUAUCAGGAGGAACACCGGUGGCGAAGGCGGCCAUCC